GACGAACGCUGGCGGCGUGCUUAACACAUGCAAGUCGAACGGGAUAUAAUCGGGAGUAAUCCUGGCUAUAUCUAGUGGCGGACGGGUGCGUAACGCGUGAACAAUCUGUCCCUCCGAGGGGGAUAACAUCUGGAAACAGAUGCUAAUACCGCAUGGGACCACGUCAUCGCAUGGUGAUGGGGUGAAAGGGCUUCGGCCCGCGGGGGGGUGAGUUCGCGUCUGAUUAGCUGGUUGGUGGGGUAGAGGCCCACCAAGGCGACGAUCAGUAGCCGAUCUGAGAGGAUGACCGGCCACACUGGAACUGAGAAACGGUCCAGACUCCUACGGGAGGCAGCAGUGGGGAAUAUUGGGCAAUGGGCGAAAGCCUGACCCAGCAACGCCGCGUGAGGGAAGAAGGUUUUCGGAUCGUAAACCUCUGUCGCAGGGGACGAGUAGAUGACGGUACCCUGUGAGGAAGCUCCGGCUAACUACGUGCCAGCCGCCGCAGUAAAAC
rnacentral:rRNA from 1 species